CCGCCGCGGUCACGUGCCCGCGCUCCCGGUGUCCCGGUGCCGGCCAUGCUGCGCCUCCGAGCCUUGGCCGCCGCCGCCCGCUGCCUGCCACCGGCGCCCCGCCCCGUGCCGCUGUGCCUCGCUGGGAGCCGCCGCAGCCUCUCCCGGUCCCGGCCGCCGGCCGGUGACCGCGGACCCCUGUCCCGGCAGGUGCGGGCGGCGGCGGGCGGCGAGCGGGUGCCGGUGCUAAAGACACCCAAGGGCACCCGCGACCACCCUCCGGCGCAGGCGGCGCUCCGUGAGCGGCUCCUCGGCGCCGUGGUGUCCUGCUUCAAGCGGCACGGGGCGGCCGCCAUCGACACCCCGGUGCUGGAGCUGCGGGAGACGCUGAUGGGGAAGUAUGGGGAGGACACGAAGCUCAUCUACGAGCUGCAGGACCAGGGCGGGGAGCUGCUGGCCCUGCGCUAUGACCUCACCGUGCCCUUUGCUCGCUACCUGGCCAUGAACAAGAUCACCAACAUGAAGCGCUACCACGUGGCCAAGGUGUACAGGAGGGACAACCCGGCCACGACCCGGGGCCGCUACCGCGAGUUCUACCAGUGCGACUUUGACAUUGCCGGGCAGUUUGACCCGAUGAUUCCCGAUGCCGAGUGCCUGAAGAUCGUGCACGAGAUCCUGAGUGACCUGCAGCUCGGGGACUUUGUCAUCAAGGUCAACGAUCGUCGGAUUUUGAAUGGUGUGUUUGCUGUCUGUGGUGUUCCAGAGAGCAAGUUCAUCCCUGCCUGCUCCACUGUGGACAAGCUGGACAAGAUGCCAUGGGAAGAAGUGAGGAGUGAGAUGGUGGGAGAGAAGGGGCUCUCUCCCGAGGCUGCGGAUCGCAUCGGGGAGUAUGUCCAGCUCCACGGUGGGCUGGAGCUGAUCGAGCGGCUUCUCCAGGACCCCAAGCUGUCCCAGAACAAGCUGGCCAAGGAAGGGCUGGGGGACAUGAAGCUGCUGUUUGAGUACCUGACGCUGUUUGGCAUCACAGGGAAGAUCUCCUUCGACCUGAGCCUGGCGCGGGGCCUGGACUAUUACACGGGGGUGAUCUUUGAGGCUGUGCUGCUGCAGCAGGAGAACGAGCACGUGGAGGAGCCCGUCAGCGUUGGGAGCGUGGCUGGAGGUGGCCGCUACGACGGGCUGGUGGGGAUGUUUGAUCCCAAGGGCCGGAAGGUGCCCUGUGUGGGGGUCAGCAUCGGGAUCGAGCGGAUCUUCUCCAUCCUGGAACAGAGACUGGAGGCUUCUGGGGAGAAACUUCGAACUACUGAGACCCAAGUGCUGGUGGCUACCCCGCAGAAACACCUGCUUGCUGCCAGACUGAAGCUCAUCUCUGAGCUGUGGGACGCAGGGAUCAAGAACUGCCCACUCGGAUGUGGGGGCUGCUUUCCUACAGAUCUGGGCAGGCAGAGAAGAUCAAUCCAGACCAGUAAAAUGAUUGCUGCAGGGUUUGGUAUCAGUGCUUUACUGCAGUGUUCAUCGGAGCAAAGUUGGGUUAGUGAUUCACCCUUCCCACUCCCUCCUAGGCAGAGAUGCUGUACAAGAAAGAUCCUAAAUUGCUGAAGCAGCUGCAGUAUUGUGAGGACACAGGGAUCCCCCUUGCUGCCAUUGUGGGGGAGCAGGAGCUGGCAGACGGAGUCGUCAAGCUGCGAGAUGUUGCAACAAGAGUGGAGGUUGAUAUCCCCAGAGAAAAGCUUAUUGAUGAGAUCAGGAGAAGGCUGGAGCCCUGAGGGCUGCUCUGGCUGGAGCUGCUUGGCUGAACUGCACAACUGGAACCCUCCUGCAGCCCCCCAGCCAUUCACUGCCAGCUGCGGCCUGGGGCACACCCACUCACUAAGGCUCAUUGCCGUGGCCAAGGCAGUGAGAACAGAGCAGUAGGAGGGUUUUAAAAGCUACGGACGGUGCAGUCACCAGGUUAACCUUCUGGCAAGCCUCUCUGAAGGUCAAGUGUGUGGGUUCCUCAUACCGCGGUCCCUGUACUGUACAGCCAUUUCCAUCACUCUAGGUGGUUGGUGGUGGCACAGAUGGAUGUGGUGCAGCUCAAGAGGACCAGGUGGAAGCCCAGGUUUGGGAGGGGGAGUCCGUGGUGUGCUGGGCACAGCUCGGGAGCUGCGGCGAGGGGGCCGUGCAAGGGCACCCGGCGCCGUGUGGGCUGCGGGGCCGGGCCCAGGCCGCAGCUCGGCGGGCGCGGAGCUGCGGGACGUCCCUGGAGGAAGCACGUGUCCCAUCACCGAGGGACACACCGAGCGGCUGGAGCAGCCGCGCAGGCUGCGGCGCGCGUGGGCAGGCUGUAUAUUUUUAUAUAUUAAACAAAGCCCGUUAAUGAA